rnacentral:rRNA from 1 species
CGUACACUCCUACGGGAGGCAGCAGUGGGGAAUAUUGGACAAUGGGCGCAAGCCUGAUCCAGCCAUGCCGCGUGAGUGAUGAAGGCCCUAGGGUUGUAAAGCUCUUUCACCGGAGAAGAUAAUGACGGUAUCCGGAGAAGAAGCCCCGGCUAACUUCGUGCCAGCAGCCGCGGUAAUACGAAGGGGGCUAGCGUUGUUCGGAAUUACUGGGCGUAAAGCGCACGUAGGCGGAUCGAUCAGUCAGGGGUGAAAUCCCAGGGCUCAACCCUGGAACUGCCUUUGAUACUGUCGAUCUGGAGUAUGGAAGAGGUGAGUGGAAUUCCGAGUGUAGAGGUGAAAUUCGUAGAUAUUCGGAGGAACACCAGUGGCGAAGGCGGCUCACUGGUCCAUUACUGACGCUGAGGUGCGAAAGCGUGGGGAGCAAACAGGAUUAGAUACCCUUGUAGUCCCAUGA